rnacentral:lncRNA from 1 species
UUUUUAUAGUCCUUUGGGAAAGGAAUAAUAACAAUUAAGAUUCUUAAUUAUCAAAAUACAAAAAAGUUUUGAGAACAGAAACAAAUACUCCUACAUAAGUUUUUUAAGGCCAUAAAAAUAUUUAAAUUGCUACUCAAGCCAUUUGAUAAAUAAAGAAAUUUUAUCAAAUAGGACACAGUUUCUCUAUUCAGUGAAUGUGCAAGAAACUUGUUCAAAUAGUGGUUUGGGAUAUGCUUGCACAGUUGAACGAAACCGGUUCGAAGAAUACAUGAGGCCAUCAAUUUUAGAAUCCUAAUAGAAAUACAAACAACCCAACAAACCUAGAGUGACUCGACGGUUCUAGGAUAAUAAAAUGACAGAAUACACAACAGAGAUGGCGACAAUAGAAAUAGCAAAUAUGUAGUAUUGAUAGUGAUGAGUGAUGACAACAGUAUUCUUCAACUUUCAAACCCUAGAAUUGUUGAACCUUCUUUCAAGCCAUAUCUGAAACAAACUUGUGAAUCCUUUAGGAAUCAUAAAAUGAAAAUUUCGAAUUUCAGCACAAAUUUCUUAACAGUUAGUAAUGUAAAUCAAAAUUUAAUUCGACAACUCAUUUUUUAACAAAAUUAUGUGAGAUAACUUUUCUGCAAAGCUCUCAUACUUCAUCAGGACUCAUAAGUCAUAAACCAAUCCCCACUUCUACAAACUGCAACUAUCUAAUCUCUGUACAGAAACUAUCACAAGCUGAAAGUUGGUGCAUCCAAGAUGAAACUUGAAGAAAGUUAAUAACAUAUUCUUUUUCAAAGUUCUGUUCUGUUAUUGCAAAAUGGACAUGCUGUAAUAUCCUAAUCAAAGAAUUCAGAAUACAGUUCACAUCUUGGUAUAGCACAAGUUGAAAGAAUCAUCUUUGUUCACCAAAAAAUGCAGUUUCUACCACAAUAAAUGAGAUCGUUGAUAUUGCAACAGAUCAACCACGAUGCGAAAACAACAUUUGAGAGAACACACUUCCUAAGCACAAAACAUAUACAUCAAAUUCCUUAUAUUGUUAUUAUAUAUCAAGUACUCAAAUCAAACAAUGAAAAGUAGAUGCUUUUCCUAUAAAUUCAGCAUCACAUUCUUAAGAAUGGCUAUUGAUGCAAAACAUUCCCAAAAUAUCAAUUAUUUGAUUUGAGAAUU